UUGCGAUUCUAGUUCUUAUACUC
rnacentral:siRNA from 1 species